GACGAACGCUGGUGGCGUGCCUAACACAUGCAAGUCGAGCGAAGUGAGUACUACGGUACGAACUUAGCGGCGGACGGGUGAGUAACGCGUGGACAAUCUACCCUGUAGACUGGGAUAACACCUCGAAAGGGGUGCUAAUACCGGAUAAUGUCGAGAAGCGGCAUCGCUUUUCGAAGAAAGGAGAGAAUCCACUAUAGGAGGAGUCCGCGUCCCAUUAGCUAGUUGGUGAGGGUAACGGCCCACCAAGGCGACGAUGGGUAGCCGGCCUGAGAGGGUGAACGGCCACACUGGAACUGAGACACGGUCCAGACUCCUACGGGAGGCAGCAGUGGGGAAUAUUGUGCAAUGGGGGAAACCCUGACACAGCAACGCCGCGUGAGCGAAGAAGGCCUUCGGGUUGUAAAGCUCAAUAGUAUGGGAAGAUAAUGACGGUACCAUACGAAAGCCCCGGCUAACUACGUGCCAGCCGCCGCCGUAAAAC
rnacentral:rRNA from 1 species